AUCGGGCGGUUUUGGCAGUUGCUUCAUUCCCGACACGCGUCGCGAUCCCACAAAGAAACUCUACGCUGCGCGACCGGGCCUGCGCGUGUGGACAGCGGACGAAAGCGGGAAAGUCUCGUCAACCUCCGUUUUCAAAUCGUUACUCGCCGACAAACUGCCGGUCAUACGAACAUUGAGCGGAAACGAUACCAAAUUUAACAGCAGCGGUCAGUUUGGCCAACUCCUGACAUUCUACAAUCAAUAUGUUAUAACGU